rnacentral:rRNA from 1 species
UACGGGGGGGGCAAGCGUUGUUCGGAAUUACUGGGCGUAAAGGGCUCGUAGGCGGCCAACUAAGUCGGAUGUGAAAUCCCCAGGCUUAACCUGGGAAUUGCAUCCGAUACUGGAUGGCUUGAAUCCGGGAGAGGGAUGCGGAAUUCCAGGUGUAGCGGUGAAAUGCGUAGAUAUCGGGAGGAACACCAGUGGCGAAGGCGACUACCUGGCCUGUUCUUGACGCUGAGGCGCGAAAGCUAGGGGAGCAAACGGG